AGUGAACGCUGGCGGUAGGCCUAACACAUGCAAGUCGAACGGCAGCACAGUAAGAGCUUGCUCUUACGGGUGGCGAGUGGCGGACGGGUGAGGAAUACAGCGGAAUCUACUUUUUCGUGGGGGAUAACGUAGGGAAACUUACGCUAAUACCGCAUACGACCUACGGGUGAAAGCAGGGGAUCUUCGGACCUUGCGCGAUUGAAUGAGCCGAUGUCGGUUUAGCUAGUUGGCGGGGUAAAGGCCCACCAAGGCGACGAUCCGUAGCUGGUCUGAGAGGAUGAACAGCCACACUGGAACUGAGACACGGUCCAGACUCCUACGGGAGGCAGCAGUGGGGAAUAUUGGACAAUGGGCGCAAGCCUGAUCCAGCCAUACCGCGUGGGUGAAGAAGGCCUUCGGGUUGUAAAGCCCUUUUGUUGGGAAAGAAAAGCAGCAGGUUAAUACCCCGCUGUUCUGACGGUACCCAAAGAAUAAGCACCGGCUAACUUCGUG
rnacentral:rRNA from 1 species